GAUGAAGAACGUAGCGAAAUGCGAUACUUGGUGUGAAUUGCAGAAUCCCGUGAACCAUCGAGUCUUUGAACGCAAGUUGCGCCCGAAGCCAUUAGGCCGAGGGCACGCCUGCCUGGGCGUCACACGUCGUUGCCCCCCCAUCUACUCCUUCGGGAUUGCGGGGGGCGGAUGAUGGCCUCCCGUGCGCCUCGUCGCGCGGUUGGCAUAAAUACCAAGUCCUCGGCGACGCACGCCACGACAAUCGGUGGUUGCGAAACCUCGGUUGCCCGUCGUGUGCGGUCGUCGCGCAUCGAGGGCUCGAAAAAAUUGCCGGGCUCCGGCUCGGCUUUCAACGCGACCCCAGGUCAGGCGGGGUUACCCGCUGAGUUUAAGCAUAUCAAUAAGCGGAGGA
rnacentral:misc_RNA from 1 species